rnacentral:rRNA from 1 species
UACGAGGGGGGCGAGCGUUGUUCGGAAUUAUUGGGCGUAAAGGGUGCGUAGGCGGUUCCGCAAGUCCUGUGUGAAAUCUUCGGGCUCAACUCGAAGUCUGCACGGGAAACUGCGGGGCUUGAGUGUGGGAGAGGUGAGUGGAAUUUCCGGUGUAGCGGUGAAAUGCGUAGAUAUCGGAAGGAACACCUGUGGCGAAAGCGGCUCACUGGACCAUAACUGACGCUGAGGCACGAAAGCUAGGGGAGCAAACAGG